rnacentral:rRNA from 1 species
GGAUUGCUCUAGUAACGGCGAGUGAAGCAGCAAUAGCUCAAAUUUGAAAUCUGGCGUCUUCGACGUCCGAGUUGUAAUUUGUAGAGGAUGCUUCUGAGUAACCACCGACCUAAGUUCCUUGGAACAGGACGUCAUAGAGGGUGAGAAUCCCGUAUGCGGUCGGAAAGGUGCUCUAUACGUAGCUCCUUCGACGAGUCGAGUUGUUUGGGAAUGCAGCUCUAAAUGGGAGGUAAAUUUCUUCUAAAGCUAAAUAUUGGCCAGAGACCGAUAGCGCACAAGUAGAGUGAUCGAAAGAUGAAAAGCACUUUGGAAAGAGAGUUAAAAAGCACGUGAAAUUGUUAAAAGGGAAGGGAUUGCAACCAGACUUGCUCGCGGUGUUCCGCCGGUCUUCUGACCGGUCUACUCGCCGCGUUGCAGGCCAGCAUCGUCUGGUGCCGCUGGAUAAGACUUGAGGAAUGUAGCUCCCUCGGGAGUGUUAUAGCCUCUUGUGAUGCAGCGAGCGCCGGGCGAGGUCCGCGCUUCGGCUAGGAUGCUGGCGUAAUGGUCGUAAUCCGCCCGUCUUGAAACACGGACCAAGGAGUCUAACAUCUAUGCGAGUGUUCGGGUGUCAAACCCCUACGCGUAAUGAAAGUGAACGGAGGUGAGAACCGCAAGGUGCAUCAUCGACCGAUCCUGAUGUCUUCGGAUGGAUUUGAGUAAGAGCAUAGCUGUUGGGACCCGAAAGAUGGUGAACUAUGCCUGAAUAGGGUGAAGCCAGAGGAAACUCUGGGUGGAAGCUCGCAAGCGGUUCUGACGUGCAAAUCGAUCGUCAAAUUUGGG